rnacentral:rRNA from 1 species
CCGUCUCAGUUCGGAUCGCAGGCUGCAACCCGCCUGCGUGAAGUCGGAAUCGCUAGUAAUCGCGGAUCAGCAUGCCGCGGUGAAUACGUUCCCGGGCCUUGUACACACCGCCCGUCACACCAUGAGAGUCGGGAACACCCGAAGUCCGUAGCCUAACCGCAAGGAGGGCGCGGCCGAAGGUGGGUUCGAUAAUUGGGGUGAAGUCGUAACAAGGUAGC